AGGGAAUUUUCGGCAAUGGGGGAAACCCUGACCGAGCAAUGCCGCGUGAACGAAGAAGGUCUUCGGAUCGUAAAGUUCUGUUAUCGGGAAAGAAUGGCAUGGUGAGGAAAUGCGCCAUGUAUGACGGUACCCGAUGAGAAAGCCCCGGCUAACUAUGUGCCAGCAGCCGCGGUAACACAUAGGGGGCGAGCGUUAUCCGGAAUUACUGGGCGUAAAGCGUGUGUAGGCGGUCUAUUAAGUCUGGCGUGAAAUCCCACGGCUUAACUGUGGAGGGUCGUUGGAAACUGAUAGACUUGAGUACGGCAGAGGUAAGUGGAAUUCCAAGUGGAGCGGUGGAAUGCGUAGAUAUUUGGAGGAACACCAGUGGCGAAGGCGGCUUACUGGGCCGGAACUGACGCUGAGACACGAAAGCGUGGGGAGCAAAC
rnacentral:rRNA from 1 species